rnacentral:rRNA from 1 species
UACGGAGGAUGCGAGCGUUAUCCGGAUUUAUUGGGUUUAAAGGGUGCGUAGGCGGCUUAGUAAGUCAGCGGUGAAAUUUUGCAGCUUAACUGUAACAGUGCCGUUGAUACUGCCAGGCUAGGAUUUGGUUGCUGUGGGUGGAAUGUGUGGUGUAGCGGUGAAAUGCUUAGAUAUCACACAGAAUAUCGAUUGCGGAGGCAGCUCACAAAGCCAAGAUUGACGCUGAGGCACGAAAGUGUGGGGAUCAAACAGGA